CACGGUGGGAGGCGGCGGGCGGCGGAGUAUAGGGUUACAGCCCAUUUAUGGGCGCAGCGGAGGGCAGAUAUCAGUGUCCAGGGCAUUCGUUCCCAGCUAUUCUUAGGAGCGUCUAGGGAGCUCCACGCAGCCGCCAGACCGAGGGACGGAGCAGAGGCCGCCGCGGUCAGCACGAGCAUGUCGUACAGCGUGACCCUGACCGGGCCCGGGCCCUGGGGCUUCCGUCUCCAGGGGGGCAAGGACUUCAACAUGCCGCUCACUAUCUCCCGGAUCACACCAGGAAGCAAGGCCGCCCAGUCCCAGCUCAGCCAGGGUGACCUCGUGGUAGCCAUCGAUGGAGUCAACACAGACACCAUGACCCACCUGGAAGCCCAGAACAAGAUCAAGUCUGCCAGCUACAACCUGAGUCUCACGCUGCAGAAGUCGAAGCGCCCCAUCCCCAUCUCCACGACAGCGCCCCCGGUCCAGUCCCCUCUGCCGGUGAUCCCCCACCAGAAGGACCCUGCUGGGGACAUGAGCGGCAGCCCCACGGCACGCAGCCCCGGACCCCUGGGCCCCCCGGAGCUCGGGCCCAGCUCUAGCCCCUCCUUCUCCCAGAGUCCCCCAAGGGGCGGCCCGGGCACGGAGGGAGCCCCGGGACCGAGAGGGCAGGGCAGGCCCGCGCAGUACAACAACCCCAUUGGGCUGUACUCGGCCGAGACCCUGAGGGAGAUGGCUCAGGUGUAUCGGAUGAGCCUCGGAGGGAAGGCCUGGGGGGCCGGACUCCCAGGAGGGAGCCUCCCUAUUAAGGACCUGGCCGUGGACAGCGCAUCUCCCGUGUACCAGGCCGUGAUCAAGAACCAGAACAAGCCAGAAGACGAGGCUGACGAGUGGGCCCGCCGCUCCUCCAACCUGCAGUCUCGCUCCUUCCGCAUCCUGGCCCAGAUGACCGGGACAGAGUACAUGCAAGACCCUGAUGAGGAAGCUCUGCGGAGGUCAAGGCCCCAGGCCUCUGCCUACAGCCUGGCCAAGGCGACCUCUCCGGCACCCGCCUCUCAUCCAUACAGUGAGGCCUCAGCUGCCCCUGCGCCCAAGCCCCGGGUUGUCACCACCGCCAGCAUCCGGCCUUCUGUCUACCAGCCAGUGCCCGCGGCGACCUACAGCCCCUCCCCGGGGCCCAGCUACAGCCCAGCUCCCUACACCCCCUCGCCGGCCCCGGGCCCGGGCUACAGCCCCACGCCGUCCGCGGCCUACGGUGGCGGCCCCGUGGAGUCGGCCAGCCGUCCCCCGUGGGUGGCAGACGACAGCUUCUCUCAGAAGUUUGCCCCCGGCAAGAGCAGCAGCUCGGCCAGCAGACAGACCCUGCCGCGAGGGGCCCCCACCUACGGCCCCCCCGGGCCCCAAGUGUCCCCCCUGGCCAGGGGCAUCGUGCAGCGGGCGGAGCGCUUCCCGGCCAGCAGCAGGACCCCGCUCUGCGGCCACUGCAACAACGUCAUCAGGGGCCCCUUUCUGGUAGCCAUGGGCCGUUCCUGGCACCCGGAGGAGUUCAAUUGCGCCUACUGCAAGACCUCCCUGGCGGACGUGUGCUUCGUGGAGGAGCAGAGCAACGUUUACUGCGAGCGCUGUUAUGAGCAGUUCUUUGCUCCGAUCUGCGCCAAGUGCAACACCAAAAUCAUGGGGGAAGUGAUGCACGCCCUGCGGCAGACUUGGCACACCACCUGCUUCGUCUGCGCAGCUUGCAAAAAGCCCUUCGGGAACAGCCUCUUCCACAUGGAAGACGGGGAGCCCUACUGUGAGAAAGACUACGUCAACCUGUUCAGCACCAAGUGUCAUGGCUGUGAUUUCCCUGUGGAGGCCGGCGACAAGUUUAUCGAAGCCCUGGGGCAUACCUGGCACGACACCUGCUUCAUCUGCGCAGUGUGCCACGUGAAUCUGGAGGGACAGCCGUUCUACUCCAAGAAGGACAAGCCCCUGUGCAAGAAGCACGCGCACGCCAUCAACGUGUAGGGAGCCCGGAGCGCCUGACGCUGACAGGCCGGCCGCCUGCUGCCGGCGACAGAGGAGCGAGGAGGCUGGUGUUUCUGGGGGGAAAGGGGGAGACAGGAAGCUACUGAGCCCUUUGAAGGAGAAAGAAGCCGCAGGAUGCGUCCCUAAGAAGCGGCAGGAGGCCCUGGCCUUUCUCCCAAGGGGGGAGCCGUCCCCGAGGGAGCACCAGGAGGGCCUUAAAUGUGUUCCUACCACAGGGCCCUUCUCCACCUGCGGCGCAGUAAGAAAGUCCAUCUCCAGGACCACACAGUAAAACCUGCUGGGAGUGACUGAGAUUUUUCAGGACUUGCAAACAAGUACCUUGGAGCAUUCUGUUAUUUUUGGAAAGUUCAAAUAUACGGGGAUAAGGAGGUCGCUGGCUGUACAGAAAAGCUCUAGGAAAAAAGAAAAAAAAAGGUUUUCUCUUAAAGCACAAACGAAAACACGUUUUCAGGGACUGGUCUCGAGAAAAGGAAGAAAAGUUCCUGAGAGUUAAGUCUCCAAAAAUACCUUUUAAAAGGCCUCAUGCACACACGGCCGUGCCCGCGUGCACGUGCGAUCAUUUCAAAGUACCUGAUGGAUGGAACGAGAAGGGAGGCCUCCCGGAGGACUUCGUCGGGUCACUAACUGAUUCGGGUUUUCCACAUCUCAGAGCGAGUGUCGAUCCGAGGGACUCUCAUUCACCAAAACACAAAAGAAGGGCAAAACCAUCUUAAAGGCAGCAGGAGAAGGAGGUAGCUCUGAUUACCGGGUUCCCUCGGUGUUUGCAGGGUGGGUGUAGCUUUGGGGUUAAGGUGGGAUCUACUUCAAGGUAACAUCAGAGUGUCCUAGGACGCCAGGCAAUUUCUAAUAGUUCCUCUGGGGAGUACACGUUGGAUCUACAGUUCUUGUCUCCUCAUUGUUGACGUUUAUGUAACACUUAGAAACCUUAACUUUUUGCAAUGGAGUGACUUGUGUCUGCAGUGUUCCUGUCAGGAAUGUAGCUUUUAUAAUGUUAGCGUUUCAACCUAAGUACUCUUGCUUUGGGAUUUUUUUUUUUUUUAAUUUUCAGAUUUCAAAAGUGGAAAGUAGUGUGUUAGACGUGUGCACAAAAAUGUUUUGCAUGUUUCUUUGUUUUGUUUUGUUUUUUUGCUUGUGUGAAUCUACUUUUUAGCACAAUAAAACCUAAAAAGGAUGUGCAAAUACAGA